rnacentral:rRNA from 1 species
AUUGAACGCUGGCGGCAUGCCUUACACAUGCAAGUCGAACGGCAGCACGGGGCAACCUGGUGGCGAGUGGCGAACGGGUGAGUAAUGCAUCGGAACGUGCCAUUGAGUGGGGGAUAACGUAGCGAAAGUUGCGCUAAUACCGCAUAUUCUGUGAGCAGGAAAGCAGGGGACCGCAAGGCCUUGCGCUCUUUUGAGCGGCCGAUGUCAGAUUAGCUAGUUGGUGAGGUAACGGCUUACCAAGGCGACGAUCUGUAGCGGGUCUGAGAGGAUGAUCCGCCACACUGGAACUGAGACACGGUCCAGACUCCUACGGAGGCAGCAGUGGGGAAUUUUGGACAAUGGGCGCAAGCCUGAUCCAGCCAUGCCGCGUGAGUGAA